UACGGAGGGUGCAAGCGUUAUCCGGAAUCACUGGGCUUAAAGGGUGCGUAGGCGGUGGCGUAAGUCAGUUGUGAAAGCCCCGGGCUCAACCUGGGAAUGGCAGUGGAAACUAGGGGACUGGAAUCUGGCAGAGGGGGGUGGAAUGCCGCGUGUAGCAGUGAAAUGCGUAGAGAUGUGGAGGAAUACCGAUGGCGAAGGCAGCCCCCUGGGAUAACACUGACGCUCAUGCACGAAAGCGUGGGGAGCAAACAGG
rnacentral:rRNA from 1 species